UUUUAAGUGAAAUCCAAUUACAAAAACUAUGCAAUACACCAACCACUCCAUUUCAUAACGAACUUCGUAUGAACCUGAAUUGUCCGAUUUCAUAGACCAAUCGAUAUCGGAUUGAGUCCAAAACUUGGGGAACAUCAUAAUAUUGUGGGAGGAGUCAUUUGGUGGGUUAUGAGUGAAAUCCAAUCUCGAGAUGACAGGACCCGAUCCAA
rnacentral:lncRNA from 1 species